rnacentral:rRNA from 1 species
UGGGGAAUUUUGGACAAUGGGGGAAACCCUGAUCCAGCCAUCCCGCGUGUGCGAUGAAGGCCUUCGGGUUGUAAAGCACUUUUGGUAGGAAAGAAACGUCAUGGGUUAAUACCCCGUGAAACUGACGGUACCUGCAGAAUAAGCACCGGCUAACUACGUGCCAGCAGCCGCGGUAAUACGUAGGGUGCAAGCGUUAAUCGGAAUUACUGGGCGUAAAGCGUGCGCAGGCGGUUCGGAAAGAAAGAUGUGAAAUCCCAGAGCUCAACUUUGGAACUGCAUUUUUAACUACCGGGCUAGAGUGUGUCAGAGGGAGGUGGAAUUCCGCGUGUAGCAGUGAAAUGCGUAGAUAUGCGGAGGAACACCGAUGGCGAAGGCAGCCUCCUGGGAUAACACUGACGCUAAUGCACGAAAGCGUGGGGAGCAAACAGG